AGUGAACGCUGGCGGUAGGCCUAACACAUGCAAGUCGAACGGCAGCACAGUAAGAGCUUGCUCUUACGGGUGGCGAGUGGCGGACGGGUGAGGAAUACAUCGGAAUCUACUUUUUCGUGGGGGAUAACGUAGGGAAACUUACGCUAAUACCGCAUACGACCUACGGGUGAAAGCAGGGGAUCUUCGGACCUUGCGCGAUUGAAUGAGCCGAUGUCGGAUUAGCUAGUUGGCGGGGUAAAGGCCCACCAAGGCGACGAUCCGUAGCUGGUCUGAGAGGAUGAUCAGCCACACUGGAACUGAGACACGGUCCAGACUCCUACGGGAGGCAGCAGUGGGGAAUAUUGGACAAUGGGCGCAAGCCUGAUCCAGCCACACCGCGUGGGUGAAGAAGGCCUUCGGGCUGUAAAGCCCCUUUGUUGGGAAAGAAAAGCAGCAGGUUAAUACCCCGCUGUUCUGACGGUACCCAAAGAAUAAGCACCGGCUAACUUCGUG
rnacentral:rRNA from 1 species